rnacentral:lncRNA from 1 species
UGAUGGGGCAAAAGUGAUACACAUUUAGUAGAAAUUAUACUUUAAAUUUUGAAUUUUGAUCUCUUCCCAGGCUAGUGAUACAUGGUACCAUAUUCUCUUGCAAUGCCAGGCGGGGACAGAGCCACAGCAACCAGUCAGCCCUGCAAUCAUGAGCGUGAACCAUUGAGCCUCUAGCUUGCAGUGUUGCCAGAUGACCUUGCCCAACCAUAGGCUAAGGGAAGUGAUCUGAGCACGUGUAAGAAGAUGGAGGAAAAUCAAUCCUAGUUUCAGCGAGGUUUUGCAGUGCAUGUGCAGGCUACGUUAAUGUCACCCAGGAGCUUGAUUGACAGAUGCUCAAAUGCCCAGCCCUAUCCCUGCCCCAUCUACUGAGGAACCCAAGCACCUGAAGUUCCACAAAUGCUGCAGGUGAUUUCUAUUUAUGCUAUCAUUUGAAGAACACUGAUUUAAUGUGACUGUCUAUUAAAGUUUUAUGCAAAUUGCUUCCGUAAGUUUAUUUUUUCUCAGAAAACUAAUUCAGGAAAUAACCUUUAUAAGCCUGGAUGAUACUCAGUACCUUAUCGGACUAUGUUUUUGUAUUUUCACUUACUGGCUUUGUUUUUAAAUAGCCACAGAGUAGGUAUGGGACACUGGGGGAUGGAGAGCACAUGACAGGAAGUAAAGGCAACUGAAGUUUCCACUGAGGUUGGGAGGAAAUGGCCCGUAACUGCUUCCUAUUCAUCGUUUUGUGCAGAUUGAGUUCUGUUGCCUUAGUGUGCUGAAGAGAGCCAAGGUACAGCCUGAGGUUGUAGUGGGUUUUAUGCACAUAUUUUUGUUUUUCUUUAACCAUAUGAAUCUACUUGGGGAGUAUUUAUAGGAAAAGCUCUAAAGGCAGUCAAGCACUUUUAGAUUUCAAUCUAAGUAGCCUAUAAGUGAAUGUUAAAGGGCAAAAAGAGUCCUUCAGUUUUUCAGUUAACAUCCCAGGCACUGUGCUUGUGUUAUGGAUUUAAAAAAAAAAUAAGUGAAAGGUCCUACUCUCAAUAAAUUUUGUUAAUUUAGGAGGAGAAACCAAAAGCCAGGCAGGCAGUUAACGAAAGUAUUGGCAGUAUCACCAUAAGAGUAUAAGACUGAUGUUGGGAAAAGGACCUAGCCCAGUGUGGAGGAUCAGACAGGGCGGGGUUCCCUGAAGAAGUAUAACUUAAGCUGAGACAUGGGGGUCAAAUAAGAAUUAAUUCAUGAAAAACUUCAGGAAGACCAAGAAAAACCAUUAUUAAUGGCAAUAUCCAUUCAUUCAUUCGUUUGAUCAUUUUAUUCAUUUCAUGCAUUUAUUCAUUUAGUGACUUAUGCAUGUGUCACGUGAAAAUCACUGAGCUAGACCCUAAGGACACAGCUGUGAAAAUGCCAGACCUGGCAGCUAUCGUCAUGCAGUAGGAGAGACAGGAGACAUCUUCCAUUUCUGUUUUCCCCUAGAACUGUCUGCGGCAAAAGAAAGGUUCUCUGCACUGCCUAGUACUGUAGCCCUAACUACUGGGGCUAUUGAGCAUUUCACCUGUUUCUAAUGUGACAGAAGACAUAAAUGUAUAAUUUAGUUUUAAUAUACACAUGGCUAGUGGCUACUUUAUCUACUGCAAGAGUGAAAAAUUUCUAAUCUAGAUCCCCAUAGGAACUCAAAGAUGGGAACAAGUGGCAUCUUAAAAAUGGGCUCAGAUGGAAAAGGGGCUGCCAUGAAAGGAUGGAACUUGGGAGAUGGGAUGCUUCCCAGCAAAGGGUGGUGGUGUGCAUGCUCCUUGUAGUCAAGGUGUGACUUUAGCAUUAAUGGAGCCAUGUCACCCAUGGAAGGUACUGCUGUGAUGUUAUUUUGAAGCAUGGAUGAACUCAUAAGUCAAAAUUUUGCCAGAGGGGAACAGGCACCUCUGCUCACCUCUAUUUUCAUUCCUAGCAGGAUUAAAUUCAUAUUGUAUUUGCUGAGCAGCCCAGGUGUUUAAGAAAAAGUUGUCAUUCAGAUUGAUGGUACUUUAAAAAAAAUCCAUCAACAUACAAGGAAAAAUAUCUGUGGUGGAGAGUUGAGUGACUCAGAUUUAAUAGCAUAGCACAUGAGACCACUGUGUUCCCUAGUUUUUUUAAAAAAUGAAUUAUUGCCUUUCCCCUGUAAGCCUAGCAAUAUGGAAAGAGGGAAAGGAGGCUUUUCAAAGGAAACUGCUCUUUGGAAUAUUAAUGCAUUUAUAUCAUGUGUCCACUGAUUUAUCUAACUAAUAUUUCUCCAAUAUUUUGUCUUUUGUCUUCAAAUAGUUCUAUCCAAACUGUACUGACUUAAUUUUUCUACUAUUUUUAAAAGCAUUAUCUAUGAAGUUUUACUUUAUAACUUGGAGAAUUGAUUUUUCAUACAGUAAGAUGGGUUUUCUCAGACUAUCAAACCUUAAAAGUGGUAUUUUGAAUUUCUACUAAAGUCAGCAUGUAGAAGGCUAUAAUGACAUUCUCCUGGAUCUUAAAUAGGGGGUAAAGAAUCUCUGGGUCUUGAGAACACCCCAAAGGCGAACUCUAUACUUAAGCCACAAAACAUCUCUCUGGAAUAAGAUAAGGAGACAAGGUCCCAGGGAAGGGAGGGAGGGAAGAAAUGAAAGAACAGAGAAACAGGAAAUAGGAGUAAAGGAAAAGGAGGAGGAGAAGGAGGGAUGGAGAGACAGAGGGGGAGAGUGGAAAGAGAGAGAGAGAGAGCAAGCGAGAGAGAGAGAGAGCACAUCAUCAAAACACAACAUCAAAAACUCCAGGCUAUCUUCCAACCAUCUAGAAAGCUAAAAAGUGUCAUCAGAUGAUUCCCUGAUUUGGCUGAAAUAAUCCCCAUAAUAUGUUUUUAGUAUUCACGAUCAUUUUUGAGUACCCUGAUAUCAGCAGGAGGCUACUUUGGAAGCCAGAUGCAAAUAAGUGUCUCAGAAAUUAAAGACAUCUUCCCCCAUUGGAUAUCAAUAAAUCAGUAUUCUAGAAUUACUAUUCUAGUAAUAUGUAUUCUUGUUUUAGAGACUUGGUUAGUAGUCUGACCCCAAGAGGUCAGUCAGUUCUGUGUGGAUAGAAAAACCAAAUCCAGUUUCUGAACGGAAAACCUAAGGCCCACAGCCUGCAGAAUGAUGUAUCACCCUGGUUAUUACCACCCAUGGGGACAGACCACAUGACCAUGCAGCAUCAAUCUCAGACUGUUCUCAUUCUCGCUCCUUGACUGCAGUGUCCUUUGCUCAUCUUUUUAUUUUUUAAAAUUUCAGUCAUUUGAAUUACAACCUGCUUAUUAUAAUAAUUCAAAAGGCAGUAAUGUAUUCAGAAGGAAGUUAAUAGUGUAUAUUGCACAUCUCCAAUACCACUUCACCAGUGGCAGCCUGUGCCUCUCAUUCAUACCUUUUCUUUGCUGGUACAUCUGUGCACCAACAUAAAGAUUUUGAUUUAAUUUUUAAUACAGAUGAGAUUCCACUGUACAUAGUAUUUUGUGAUUUGCUCUUGUUGUAUUAUAUGGUUGCUAUGAGUUCCAGAUCAAUGCACAUAUAUCUGCUUCAUGCUUUUAAAGACCUUCACAAUAGUCUCUAGUAUGAGUUUAUUAAAAUGUAGUAAUUCUCUCCCUGAUUGAAUAUUCAAAUUUAUUUUAAAUUUUUGCUACUCCAAAUGUGGUGAGAUAAUAUUUUUGAUAUACUUAUGCCUGACUUCCCUUUCUCUUCCAUCUCACAUAUAGUCAGGGCCCCUAUAUUGACUGCCUCGGCAAGAGUAUAGAGAGGUGAAGCACAAAUGGCCCAGAAGAACUGUUAUAGACUGAAUGUUUGUGUCCCCCUAAAAUUUAUACAUUGAAGCCCUAAUCUUUAGUGCAACCGUAUGUACCUCUAAGAAGGUAAUUAAGGUUAAAUGAGGCCAUAAGGGUGGGGCCCUAAUCCCAUAAGACUAAUGUCUUUAUACAAAGAGAUAUCAGAGAGCUUUCUCUCUCCAAGUGCCUAUGAGAAGUUGGCCAUCUGCAAUCCAGGAAGACAACCCUUACCAGAAAUCAAAUCAACCAGAACCUUGAUCUUGGACUUCCAGUCUUUAGAACUUGUAGAACUUGGAGGAAAUAAUAGCUUGAUGUUUAAGCUACCCAGUCUGUAGUGUUUUACCGUUUCACCUUAGCAGACUAAUGUGGACCCCAAUUCUCUAAGCCCAGGAAGGAAAAUAAGAUGUUAUUGUAAAUAAAAUCUCUUGGCCAGAAAAGGAAAGUAAGGUUUCCAUCAAGAUGAGGGAAAAAUUUCCUAGAUAGAGCUGGCUAGAAGGUAAGAACCCCAGAAAGUGGCUGGGAAGACAUACUUAGGCUACACUACAGGCAGACUCAUAAUAAUGUAAGACAGUGGAGAAGUUCUCUUACCCUAAUACUUUUAUAUUUUCCAGCUUACAAAAUGUCAUGUCUCCACCUCCUAUCUCUGUAUUGGUCAUUAAAAGUUUCUGUUUCUCAGCUUUGUAUUAGAGUGAACAAUACUUUGAUACCUCAACUGCAGAUAUUUACUCUCCAUUUUCUCUUGAUAUCGUGUAUGAUGUUUAUUGCCAUGCACUUUUUAAAUGUUAUUUUAAGAAAUCAAAAAUUAUUUCCCUUAUAGAUUUUAACUUUUUCAGUUAAAAAGCUCAUCCUGCACUCAGGCUACACAAAUAUUUCCUAAAUUUUAUUCUAAUAUAUUAUAGUUUUAUUUGUUAUAUGGAGAUCCCACUGGGGUUCAUUUAUAUGGUGA